CGGGGGGGGUGGGGGGCGCCGAAGUCUGUAUGGAAUUACCUGCGCCCGCGGCGGAGCUGGCAGCGCUGGAUGGAUGGGCGCCGCGUCCGCGGCACUCGCGGCCAGCUGAGCCCCAGGAGUAAACACGGGGCUUCUCCGGCCGAGUGCGCAGUGUGGUGACCGGCACUCGCCUCGCUGACUGAUCGCACCGGAGGAAUAUUUCGGGAGACUCCUGUGGGAAGCAGCCACGGAAAGACAGAAGAUGAAAGCUCCUAUUCCCAACUUGAUUCUCUUGUAUGCUACUCUGACUCAGAGCUUGAAGGUUGUAACCAAAAGGGGAUCAGCUGUUCAUGGUCCUCCAAAAAAGACAAUCAGUUGCCACACAAUGCCUGGAGAUGCCUCAGAGCUUGGAAACUUCAGACUGACAAAACCAGAAGUGUUUAGCAGAACUCCUUGUAAAUCUUUCAAAUGCUACAGGAAGAGGUAAAUGAGUAAU
rnacentral:lncRNA from 1 species